CCUACGGGAGGCAGCAGUGGGGAAUUUUGGACAAUGGGCGCAAGCCUGAUCCAGCAAUGCCGCGUGCAGGAUGAAGGCCUUCGGGUUGUAAACUGCUUUUGUACGGAACGAAAAAGUCUGCCCUAAUACGGUGGGCCCAUGACGGUACCGUAAGAAUAAGCACCGGCUAACUACGUGCCAGCAGCCGCGGUAAUACGUAGGGUGCGAGCGUUAAUCGGAAUUACUGGGCGUAAAGCGUGCGCAGGCGGUUAUAUAAGACAGAUGUGAAAUCCCCGGGCUCAACCUGGGACCUGCAUUUGUGACUGUAUAGCUAGAGUACGGUAGAGGGGGAUGGAAUUCCGCGUGUAGCAGUGAAAUGCGUAGAUAUGCGGAGGAACACCGAUGGCGAAGGCAAUCCCCUGGACCUGUACUGACGCUCAUGCACGAAAGCGUGGGGAGCAAACAGGAUUAGAUACCCUGGUAGUCCACGCCCUAAACGAUGUCAACUGGUUGUUGGGUCUUCACUGACUCAGUAACGAAGCUAACGCGUGAAGUUGACCGCCUGGGGAGUACGGCCGCAAGGUUGAAACUUAAAUGAAUUGACGGCUGAGAGNGCGAGACGACGACGAGGGAGGAGG
rnacentral:rRNA from 1 species